rnacentral:rRNA from 1 species
UACAGAGGGUGCGAGCGUUGUCCGGAAUCACUGGGCGUAAAGGGCGCGUAGGUGGCGACCCAAGUCGAUGGUGAAAGCUCGCCGCUCAACGGCGAGUCGGCCACCGAUACUGGGUUGCUCGAGCACUGUAGAGGCUAAUGGAAUUCCGGGUGUAGCGGUGGAAUGCGUAGAGAUCCGGAAGAACACCGGUGGCGAAGGCGGUUAGCUGGGCAGUUGCUGACACUGAGGCGUGACAGCGUGGGGAGCAAACAGG